CCUUUUAAACUGAUCAUUGUCCUCGUUCAUCUCAGACAGUGAAAUGACUUACUUAGGAUGAAGAUAUUUCCAACUAGGCAGGACAUUUUUCCUGAUUAAACUUUUCUUAUAAAAACCAAGUGAUUUUUAUAAGAAUUCUUGUUACUUUUCCUUACAUAUUCUUUCACAUGCAAAAGAUAUUUUAAUAAAAAAAAAUGCAACCUAUACAUCAAAUAUGAGUCAUUGAAUAAAACACAGCCACACUGACUUUGAAUUAUAAGGCACACACUAAAAACAUAAAUAAUCCCAUUAACAAGUGGACAAAAGAUACAAUCAAACAUUUCUCAAAAGAAGACAUAUAAAUGACGUCAGGAAUAUGAAAAAGUGCUCAACAUUGCUAAGCACUGGGGAAACCCAAAUCAAAAUCACAAUGAGGUAUAAUCUCACCCCAGUUAGAAUGGCCAUCAUUGCAAAGACAAAAAAAUAGCAAGUGCUGGUCAGGAUGUGGAGAAAAAGUAACUCAUACACUGCCAGUGGCAGUGUAAAUUAGUAAAACCGCUCUGGAAAAUGGUACAGAGAUUUCUCAAAAAAACAAAUAUUGAACUGCCAUACAAUCCAGCAAUUCCACUACUGGGUAUUUAUCCAAAGAAAAAGAAAUAUAUUUUUCAAAAAGAUACCUGAACUCCUAUGUUUAUUGGAGCACUGUUCACAAUGGCAAAGAUAUGGAAUCAACCUAGUUGACCAUCAGUGGACAAACAGAAAGACAAUAU
rnacentral:lncRNA from 1 species